rnacentral:rRNA from 1 species
UACGUAGGGUGCGAGCGCUGUCCGGAAUUAUUGGGCGUAAAGAGCUUGUAGGCGGUUUGUCGCGUCUGCUGUGAAAAUCCGGGGCUCAACCCCGGACUUGCAGUGGGUACGGGCAGACUAGAGUGUGGUAGGGGAGACUGGAAUUCCUGGUGUAGCGGUGAAAUGCGCAGAUAUCAGGAGGAACACCGGUGGCGAAGGCGGGUCUCUGGGCCGAUACUGACGCUGAGGAGCGAAAGCGUGGGGAGCGAACAGG